rnacentral:rRNA from 1 species
CAGUCGAGCGAAUCGAUGGGAGCUUGCUCCCUGAGAUUAGCGGCGGACGGGUGAGUAACACGUGGGCAACCUGCCUAUAAGACUGGGAUAACUUCGGGAAACCGGAGCUAAUACCGGAUACGUUCUUUUCUCGCAUGAGAGAAGAUGGAAAGACGGUUUACGCUGUCACUUAUAGAUGGGCCCGCGGCGCAUUAGCUAGUUGGUGAGGUAAUGGCUCACCAAGGCGACGAUGCGUAGCCGACCUGAGAGGGUGAUCGGCCACACUGGGACUGAGACACGGCCCAGACUCCUACGGGAGGCAGCAGUAGGGAAUCUUCCGCAAUGGACGAAAGUCUGACGGAGCAACGCCGCGUGAACGAAGAAGGCCUUCGGGUCGUAAAGUUCUGUUGUUAGGGAAGAACAAGUACCAGAGUAACUGCUGGUACCUUGACGGUACCUAACCAGAAAGCCACGGCUAACUACGUGCCAGCAGCCGCGGUAAUACGUAGGUGGCAAGCGUUGUCCGGAAUUAUUGGGCGUAAAGCGCGCGCAGGUGGUUCCUUAAGUCUGAUGUGAAAGCCCACGGCUCAACCGUGGAGGGUCAUUGGAAACUGGGGAACUUGAGUGCAGAAGAGGAAAGUGGAAUUCCAAGUGUAGCGGUGAAAUGCGUAGAGAUUUGGAGGAACACCAGU